UUAGUUAUAAAUUCUAUUACAAAUUUCAAAUAUUGAUGCUUUCACAGCCAAAAAACCUUUGAUUAAUUUUCUUUGAAUAGUGUAGUUUUUAUACAAUAAAACAUACAAACAAUUGUCAUGGAUAAUUUUUCACUUUUUAAAGUAAAUUUGUUGAUGAAAACAAACAUAACUUAAUUUCAUCAUAAAUCUCAAAGAGGAAUGGUAAUAAAAGUAUGUCCAUCUUCCUCUGUUCAUUAUAAGCUAAAUUUAUCUAUGGGAGAUAAGGCUGUUGUUUCAAUUCAAUUAAACUUGGACAUAAACUAAGUAUUUCUUUUCCAGAAAAUAUGAAAUAAUCAAAGCAAGUUUGAAAAUGGUAAGAUCCAUGUCUGCACGGUUUAAAUACAUCUGUGGCACAUGCUGAAAAAAUUUUUGCUGCUAUAAUGAAGCAAAGGUUCUGGUUACUGUAUUUCUAAAAUAUGUCACACACUAGUCCUUUCACUGCAUAUACUGUUUGUUAUGCUUUGGAGCAAUCUUGGUAAAUGCCAUCGUUGACAUUUAAUUAAAAGGUGGUAGAUACUAGCACUGUAAAAUAAUUCUCCUCUAGGCUUCAAGUGUAUCAA
rnacentral:lncRNA from 1 species